rnacentral:rRNA from 1 species
AUGCUCAGCCGAACAGAACCAACUCAUCUCUCUCUCCCUAACUACAGAGCAGGCCGCCGCCGGCUCGAUCUGCCACUUCCGGCCAUCUCCGGCGACACCGCGGACACCCACGAAGUCCCCUCGACUCCCUCUACCAUAUCCCCCAUUUAUUUGAUCCGCCGCCGCCAAAAUCGCCGCCACCACUCAAUCCUAGCGCCGCUUGAUCCAGGUCCGGUGGGCUUGCCACCGGCUGCAGCGGCAACGACGUCUCCAUGCCUACAUCCUCCCCCAGCGCAGCCACACGCACGAGGCGUGCAGCCACGGGCGUCGGGCGCGUGCGGCUUCACCGGCGCUGCUCGGUCGCCAUGGCUCUGCUGCUAA